CGGGGCGUAGCGCAGUUUGGUAGCGCGUGGGCAUCGGGAGCCCAAGGUCGCCGGUUCGAGUCCGGCCGCCCCGA
rnacentral:tRNA from 1 species